rnacentral:rRNA from 1 species
GACGAACGCUGGCGGCGUGCUUAACACAUGCAAGUCGAACGGAGUGGCGAACGGGUGAGUAACCCGUGGGUGAUCUGCCUUGCACUUCGGGAUAAGCUUGGGAAACUGGGUCUAAUACCGGAUAGUGCAACAUGAUCUCGCGGCCUAUCAGCUUGUUGGUGGGGUAAUGGCCUACCCAGGCGUCGACGGGUAGCCGGCCUGAGAGGGUGUACGGCCACAUUGGGACUGAGAUACGGACAAGAAUACUACGGGAGGCAGCAGUGGGGAAUAUUGCACAAUGGGGGGAAGCCUGAUGCAUCUACGCAGCGGGGGGGAUGAAGGCCUUCGGGUUGUAAACUCCUUUCGACAGGGACGCGGUACCUGUAUAAGAAGCACCGGCUAACUACGUGCCAGCAGCCGCGGUAAUUC